rnacentral:rRNA from 1 species
UACGGAGGGUGCAAGCGUUAAUCGGAAUUACUGGGCGUAAAGCGCACGUAGGCGGUCAGUUAAGUCAGAUGUGAAAGCCCCGAGCUUAACUUGGGAAUGGCAUCUGAAACUGGUUGGCUAGAGUCGUGUAGAGGGAGGUAGAAUUCCAUGUGUAGCGGUGAAAUGCGUAGAGAUGUGGAGGAAUACCGGUGGCGAAGGCGGCCUCCUGGACAAAGACUGACGCUGAGGUGCGAAAGCGUGGGUAGCAAACAGG